ACGUCUUUGGUUUUUAAUUUACAAACUAAUUUUCUGUCCACAUUUCCACAAUAUGGCCUCCCGUGCACUUGACUCUGCCUACCCAAAGAUCAACAUCACGAAGGCAAAAAAUGCGUCGAGAUGAGCGAGUGCCACGCUGGGCCUAUAAUUUAGAAGAGAAGCGCAUUGCUGCUGAGGAACGUCUCGCAUCGGCAAUGGAGGCCAUUGUGCAGUUAAUAAGGGAAAUAAGAGACGAUAUUCGUAGCCAUAUCUCAGGUAUGAACAUAUAUUUUUGAAAUAAAUAUUAAUAAAAAUAUUAUACAUCUAAAUUUAAGACUAAAUGUACAUUCUAAUUAUAACUUUAAUUAUACACCUGAGUCAACUUUUUAUAUAAAAAAAAUAUCUUUUACAGGAUCAUCAAGACAGCACACUUAGAACACUAGCUGUGCCCGCGACUGUCUUCAUGGAAUUUUGUUCAGUUCUCACAGUACAGUAGUUAUAAAAUAAAUAAAUUUCUUAAAAUAAAAGUCAUCUAAGUUACUCCUCACUACAUCAACUAUCCACCAGUAAAAGUCCAUUCAUCCAUAUCUAUUUAAUAAAAAGCAGUUAUUUUAAUAUUACAAACAGACUAAUUUUAUUUAUUUCUAAAGAUUCAUAACUAAAACAAUAUUUUUUUAACAUAAUAAAAACUAAUCUAAGUUUAAUGUAAAUAACUACAUAAUGUCUUGUCCAAUGUAAACAAUUAAAAGUAUUUUUAUCAUAAAUAAAGGCUAUUUGUAUUAGAAUAAAAACUAAUAAAAAUAAUUAUAAUCACAAAAUAUUUCUAGCGUUCCAAAUCCUAUUAAUUAAUAUAACCCUACUUUCAUCUCGAGGAGCAUCAAUCCUUGCCUGUAUGCAAACUUGGUGCUGUUGGUCAUUGUCAAGAUCAUCAUCCUGUGAGUCAAGUAUUGGAAUAUUUUGUGCAUUGGCUAUAUUCUGCAGGACGACACAUGCAUUCACUAUCUUGCC
rnacentral:misc_RNA from 1 species